CAUUUGCGUGAGGGAUAGAAGCGGAAAGCCCACAGCAAAGUGUAGUGAUAGCGGAACUUUGCGAGGACUUGUAGCGUAUAGCCCGACCCUUG
rnacentral:snRNA from 1 species